AGACGGACUGUCCCCUUCCACCGCUCCGGACGGGCCCGAAGUCGACUUGGAACGGCGUGCCGGAGAGGGUGAGAGCCCCGUAGGGUCGGGAAACCGAGAGCGGGGGGACGAGGGUCCGUACUCGUCGAGUCGGGUUGUUUGGGAGUGCAGCCCAAAGCGGGUGGUAGACUCCAUCCAAGGCUGAAUACGGGCGCGAGACCGAUAGCGAACAAGUACCGUGAGGGAAAGGUGAAAAGCACUUUGAAGAGAGAGUCCAAGAGACCGUGAAACCGUUGGGAGGGAAGCCCAGGGCGUCGAGGCGGUAUCGGCUCCGAGUCGGGUUCAGUCGGCUAUUCCGGUAGGAUGGUCGGUGCAGUUCCGGCGGGAGUGCGACCGUCAGCAGGGUCCGAGGGCGAGGUGUAGCGCUCGUCGGGGCAGGUGGCUAGUUUGUGUCUCUCCGGAGCGCGGACAGCACUUAGAGUCCGUCGAUGCUGGUGCCUUGCGAACGGAUCGGUAGCGUGGAGCGUCAAGUCGCUCAAGAGGGUGUAGGCGCAGUUCUCGCUCAGGCGAGGAUCGGGUUCCGUCCGCGCCGUGGCCGGAUUC
rnacentral:rRNA from 1 species